rnacentral:rRNA from 1 species
UAGUCCACGCCGUAAACGAUGUCGACUAGCCGUUGGGGACCUUAGAGUCUUUAGUGGCGCAGCUAACGCACUAAGUCGACCGCCUGGGGAGUACGGCCGCAAGGUUAAAACUCAAAUGAAUUGACGGGGGCCCGCACAAGCGGUGGAGCAUGUGGUUUAAUCCGAAGCAACGCGAAGAACCUUACCAAGUCUUGACAUCCUGCGAACUUUCCAGAAAUGGAUUGGUGCCUUCGGGAACGCAGUGACAGGUGCUGCAUGGCUGUCGUCAGCUCGUGUCGUGAGAUGUUUGGGUUAAGUCCCGUAACGAGCGCAACCCUUGUCCCUAUUUGCCAGCACUUCGGGUGGGAACUCUAGGGAGACUGCCGGUGACAAACCGGAGGAAGGUGGGGACGACGCCAAGUCAUCAUGGCCCUUACGACUUGGGCUACACACGUGCUACAAUGGUGCGUACAGAGGGUUGCAAACCCGCGAGGGGGAGCCGAAUCUCACAAAACGCAUCGUAGUCCGGAUCGGAGUCUGCAACUCGA